GGCUCAGGAUGAACGCUGGCGGCGUGCCUAAUACAUGCAAGUCGAACGCACAGCGAAAGGUGCUUGCACCUUUCAAGUGAGUGGCGAACGGGUGAGUAACACGUGGAUAACCUACCUCAAGGUUGGGGAUAACAUUUGGAAACAGAUGCUAAUACCGAAUAAAACUUAGUAUCGCAUGAUACCAGGUUAAAAGGCGCUACGGCGUCACCUAGAGAUGGAUCCGCGGUGCAUUAGUUAGUUGGUGGGGUAAAAGGCUUACCAAGACAAUGAUGCAUAGCCGAGUUGAGAGACUGAUCGGCCACAUUGGGACUGAGACACGGCCCAAACUCCUACGGGAGGCUGCAGUAGGGAAUCUUCCACAAUGGGCGAAAGCCUGAUGGAGCAACGCCGCGUGUGUGAUGAAGGCUUUCGGGUCGUAAAGCACUGUUGUAUGGGAAGAACAGCUAGAGUAGGGAAUGACUUUAGUUUGACGGUACCAUACCAGAAAGGGACGGCCAAAUACGUG
rnacentral:rRNA from 1 species